UGUGGCUCCCCGCGGCGCCAGCUGACUCCUGGGGCACUGAUGAGACCCGUCUCGAACCCAAGCCUGGCCAUGCCCCCCGAGGGAACCAGAGAGACAGCCAGGGAACAGCCGGGUUACAAACUCCAACCAGACGGAGCUUACAACUUCCCUAGACAAGCCUCCAGGUGGCUCCAGGACAGGGUCCUCAGACUGGCCAGCUGAGUCCCACGUCCCAGGAGGCCUCGGGUGGUGCCCCUGCCUGCCUCCCCUCCUCUGGCAUCCGCUCGGUCUGGCUGCCGAUGACCAAAGGAGCCUUGCACACUGGACCCAGGAGGGACCUUCCUUUGCUGGCCAGGACAUGAUUUUGGUGUUUGACCCAAAGAGAUGACCCUGUCCCUCCACUUCCCUCCCUCAGGAAUGUUCAACAAGAGACACAGGAGACAUUCCCGUCGGUGCAGACACCAGCAGAAAGGUCAAGAGCUGGUGGCCAUGAGGGGGCACGUGGUGGAGGUGAAGUAGGACACAGCUGAUCAGGCUGCCCAGCCACGCGGGACGGGGGCUGGUUCAGCCAGGGAAAUUGCCUCCAGGUCUGGUCAAAGAAAAUCAGCCCUAACACCCGCCGAGGUACUCCCCUGGAUCCAGCCAUACCUGAAGCCGUCUAAUCUUAGACUUAAAUUUUUCAAGCCGCCAAGACGGAAGGCCUAGGAUGCAGAGAGGACACCCGUUUCCUCAAAUGCAGCAAGAAACAUCUCAGGAGGCACCCUGGGGCCCACCCUCCUGUCUUUGAUAAGACGGCCUCCGCUUUGGAGAAGCAAAGGAGCGACGUGUGUUCAGUGGCUUUCAGUGCCUCCCCUCCCCCCAAUUCCGAAACCGGGUUCUCAUGAAGGCGCUUCUCCUGGGCCUCUGGGGACGUGGGACCUGGCUGGGUUGAACUUGUUUUAAAACAUCGGCACAAAUCUCCAAUACCCCCAGGAGGGCACGCUGACCGCCAGCCGGUCAGUGAAAGCCCACCCCACGUCCCGCCCGAGUCCCCCGGGGAAAUGGACUGGAGCCUCCUCCGCCCCCUGAGCAGUCCCCCAGCUGUCCCGGGACAUUUCACGGUGGGUUCCUGCCUUAGGUUCUUCUCUCCUGGCUGCUGUAAGAGCCAGGCGGCAUGGGCCACGGGCCCUGGUCCCCGACCCACGGCGCCGGCUGAGGUCUGUCCCUGAAGUCUGGCUCUUCAAGUUCCUCUUCCCGCUUCCGGAAGCUGCAGGGCCCACGGAGGCAGGGCCGGGAGAGCAGAGGCCGCACCCUCCUCGACCUCAGUCUUCCUUCCUGUAAGGUGGCUCCAUGUGCCGUGGGCAGGGCUGCCCUCCGGCUGCCCGGGAAGCGGUGUGAGGCCCUGCCGCUGGUCUCCUCCAGGCGGGCUUGACCGGGGCGGGCAGCAGCCGGGUGCCCUCGGGGCUCCUGUGUCCUCCUGCCACGAGGUCACCUCUGUUUAAGACGCCUCAGUCCCCGGAGAACCGUUUGCUCAUCCACACGGAGGUGGUGGAUCUCCUCCCCAGCGCACGGGAGGGGACACUGAGGCAGGCACUGCCCAGGCCCGGAGUCUGUUGAUGGAGCCUGUGGCUCUCCUGCCUCACCUGCGGCCUCAGGACAGAGGAGGACAUUCCAAGGGGGCGGCACAGGCGCCCGUCCACCUCCGGCCCAUCUCCGUCCAGCGUGGCCUCUCCUGCCUUGGCACCACGGCGGUGGGAGGUGCCCUCGGGUGGCACCUGCUGCCCGCCCAGAGUCCCGCCCCCCUCACGCCGGCAGCUCUCUAGACACGCGGGUGGGCCGAGCCCAGGCAGGAGCAGACCGGGCCUCACACGCGCCCACAAGCACAGUUGUGCACACACGCGUGUCGCACGGUGCGCAGACACGGCUCCCUCUUCUUCCUGGCCCACCCGGCCCCCGGCCACCUCCCCAGAGCCUGGGCGGCCGUCACCCGUCCCUCCUCCAGCAGGCUGGCCAGCGUGCUCCCAAGCCCGAGGUCACUUCCGCAGCAGCCGUUUGGAAGCGUGAUGGUCUCUCCUGGCCCUCCUGGCGCUCAGCCACCCAGGAGCGGAAGACGGAGGCGGCCUCGGCACGUCCAGGGUUUGCUACCAGGCACUCCCGUCCCUCCCGCUGACCCUCUGGGACCGCCCUCGGCAGCCUCGGUGGGCUGCUCUGGGUCCCCGUGGCCAGGAUGGGGUGCCUGCCGAGGUCGGUGACAGCUUGUUAGGCAGAGUGACCUGCAGCAGGACUGGAGGUGGACAGCCGGGCAGGGGCUCCGAGCAGGGGAGAAGCCACACAGGCCGGGCUGCUGCCCUGGGGCACGGUGACCAGCUGCCAGCUUCACCCGUUGCCUGAAAGGCCGGCAGCGGCAUCACAGGUGGCUUCCCUGGGAAGCCCGGGCACAGCAGCCUCCUGGGACACUCGUGCCCCAGGGCCAUCUGAGAGGCUGGGAGGGACCAGAACUGGACUCGAGG